rnacentral:rRNA from 1 species
GAUGAACGCUGGCGGCGUGCCUAAUACAUGCAAGUCGAGCGAACAGAUGAGGAGCUUGCUCCUCUGACGUUAGCGGCGGACGGGUGAGUAACACGUGGAUAACCUACCUAUAAGACUGGGAUAACUUCGGGAAACCGGAGCUAAUACCGGAUAAUAUAUUGAACCGCAUGGUUCAAUAGUGAAAGACGGUUUUGCUGUCACUUAUAGAUGGAUCCGCGCCGCAUUAGCUAGUUGGUAAGGUAACGGCUUACCAAGGCAACGAUGCGUAGCCGACCUGAGAGGGUGAUCGGCCACACUGGCACUGAGACACGGUCCAGACUCCUACGGGAGGCAGCAGUAGGGUAUCUUCCGCAAUGGGCGAAAGCCUGACGGCGCAACGCCGCGUGAGUGAUGAAGGUCUUCGGAUCGUAAAACUCUGUUAUUAGGGAAGAACAAAUGUGUAAGUAACUAUGCACGUCUUGACGGUACCUAAUCAGAAAGCCACGGCUACCUACG